UGCCAGCAGCCGCGGUAAUACGGAGGGUGUAAGCGUUGUUCGGAAUUACUGGGCGUAAAGCGACCGCAGGCCGCUUACUAAGUCGGAUGUGAAAGCCCCGGGCUCAACCCGGGAACUGCAUUCGAAACUGGUGAGCUUGAGUACGAGAGAGGGUGGUGGAAUUCCUGGUGUAGGGGUGAAAUUCGUUGAUAUCAGGAGGAACACCGGCGGCGAAGGCGGCCACCUGGCUCGAAACUGACGCUCAUGGUCGAAAGCGUGGGGAGCAAACAGGAUUAGAUA
rnacentral:rRNA from 1 species